rnacentral:rRNA from 1 species
UACGGAGGGUGCAAGCGUUGUUCGGAAUUACUGGGCGUAAAGCGCGUGUAGGCGGUUUCCUCAGUCUGGUGUGAAAGCCCGGGGCUCACCCCCGGAAGUGCAUCGGAUACUGGGAGACUAGAGUACCGGAGAGGAGGGUGGAAUUCCUGGUGUAGCGGUGAAAUGCGUAGAGAUGUGGAGGAAUACCGAUGGCGAAGGCGGCCCUCUGGACGGAUACUGACGCUGAGACGCGAAAGCGUGGGGAGCAAACAGG